GUUUUGGAGUUUGUUUUAUAAGUAGUUAUAGUCUAAAUCUAGGUUAGAUCUUUCCAUAUCUUGAAAUAUGAAAAUAUCUUUCGUUAUCUAAAAUUUUUCUUGUUUGACCUAGAGGCAAGAGAAAACAUGACACAAAGGCCGGAAACGGUUAGCAUUAAAAGUUGGAAGAUAACUUGUGGUUUUCGGACGAUAUUGGGGAUUAUCCAGACAGGGAGCACGACGUUGCUUCUUGGGGAUUAUCCAGACUGUCAUUUUAUGAACCAUUCGAGAAUCCAAUGGAAGAUGCUUUAUUACAAAAGUGUAUGACACCAGGAGAGACCAGAGUCUCUUAGAUCAUUAGACAUGGGGCCCAUAUGAUAAGGUGCCCUGAAUGGACUCAUAGUCUAGGGUUCAUAGUGCAAUGAUAUGCGAACUUUUCUUGGUGGCGCAUGGCCUAAGUUGGCACUUUGUCUUAUAGGCACGGAGACUUGUGGGCAAGUGGUUUUGUAUUUGAUAGAAGGUAUCUGGUCUAGAGGGUGCAUGACCUGACUAGCGGGGGGAAGGACUUAGCAUUAUGUUAUAUGAGCAUAUGAUGUCAUCUUGUUUGUCAGCAAAAAGCCGUGGAUUGAGCCAGUAAAUAAACUUGUGAACUGCUUUAAUGAGUAGUGAUCUUAGUCUGGAUGAUAGUGAUCAUGUAGAUUUGCUUGAGACAUCGAUGAAGAUAACCUUUGGAGUUUAUAUCAUGUAGAUUUGCUUGAGACAUCGAUGAAGAUAACCUUUGGAGUUUAUAUCAUGUAGAUUUGCUUGAGACAUCGAUGAAGAUAACCUUUGGAGUUUAUUUCUAUGUUUUAUAGGAAGGAAGAUUCAACACGAGAGCAGUAGAAGAAGAUGUGAAGGAGAUUAUCCGAGGUGGAUAAGAUGAUUCCGACUUUUCAAUUGGGCAUUCAGGAGAUUCUCUCUUUUCUCUCAGCUUCUCUCCUUGUAAGAUGUUAUCGUUAUGGUUAGCAGAUCACGAGCUUACCGUCGAUUCAAUCUUGAAAUUGAAUUCUCAACUCUUUUCUGAAUUUACUUUCUUUUUCUUGAUGGUAUUUCUUAGAAGGGAGAAACAUCUCAUUUUUGUUUUAUCAUUUAUCUGUUAGGAUCUUCUUUUCCAAUCCCGUUUUCCUUGGAUUGUUGAAUAUGUUCUGCCAUAAAACUCCUUCCCCUCUACUUUUCCAGCAUACUAAAGUCAAAAAUGGAAGGUAUGUACCCUUGUUAGACAUAAUUUGGUACAAGUGAUUCUUGCUCAGCUUUACGGUAUGAUAUGAAGGAAUAGACG